rnacentral:rRNA from 1 species
UACGAAGGGGGCUAGCGUUGCUCGGAAUCACUGGGCGUAAAGGGUGCGUAGGCGGGUCUUUAAGUCAGGGGUGAAAUCCUGGAGCUCAACUCCAGAACUGCCUUUGAUACUGAAGAUCUUGAGUUCGGGAGAGGCGAGUGGGACUGCGAGUGUAGAGGUGAAAUUCGUAGAUAUUCGCAAGAACACCAGUGGCGAAGGCGGCUCACUGGCCCGAUACUGACGCUGAGGCACGAAAGCGUGGGGAGCAAACAGG